rnacentral:rRNA from 1 species
GGACGAACGCUGGCGGCGUGCUUAACACAUGCAAGUCGAGCGGUAAGGCCCUUUCGGGGGUACACGAGCGGCGAACGGGUGAGUAACACGUGGGUGACCUGCCUUUAGCUCUGGGAUAAGCCUGGGAAACUGGGUCUAAUACCGGAUAUGACCCUAUGGCGCAUGUUGUGGGGUGGAAAGCCUUGUGCGGCUAGGGAUGGGCCCGCGGCCUAUCAGCUUGUUGGUGGGGUGAUGGCCUACCAAGGCGACGACGGGUAGCCGGCCUGAGAGGGCGACCGGCCACACUGGGACUGAGACACGGCCCAGACUCCUACGGGAGGCAGCAGUGGGGAAUCUUGCGCAAUGGGCGAAAGCCUGACGCAGCGACGCCGCGUGAGGGAUGACGGCCU